UGCAUUCUGAUACCCUAUAUUAGACUCUU
rnacentral:piRNA from 1 species